rnacentral:rRNA from 1 species
UACGGGGGGGGACUAACGUUAUUCAUCAUAACUGGGCGUAAAGGGUACGUAGGUGGCUUUUUAAGUCUUUAUUAAAUAAUCUAGGCAUAACUUAGAAAUUAGUUUUGAUACUGCUAAGCUUGGAGGUCGAUAGAGGUUAGUUAUAUUCUUGGAGUAAAAGUAAAAUCUUAAGAUAUCAAGAGGAUAAUCGUGUGGUUAAUUCGACUUUCUAGAUCGAUGCUGACACUGAGGUACGAAAGCAUGGG